GAAAAAUGUUUGGCAUGAAUUUUAUGAAUAUAUUUAAUCAAAAUGGCUGAACUUUUUAUAAUUCGUUUCCAUGAUUAGAGAAAACAGAUUAUGGAAGAAUCUUUAUCAGUUUUAACUCCAGUUCAACAGCGACAUGAUGGCUAGACAAAGUUUAAGACGCUUUUCAAAAAGCAGUAAUGAAGAGAUCAUAUUGGCACCACCAGGAAGUCCCACUCUUUGGUCUAAUCAAUCUGAAGAGGGACAUUUUCCGCCAACCCCACCCCCUAAACCCCCAUUAAGUUUAAGUAAGGGUAAAGAUUCACGCCCUGGGUCAUCAAGACGGCGAAAAUAUUCUGCAUCAUUAUCUCUGACAUCAAAUGAUUCAUUGGAAGGAUAUGAUGUUGAUCCAUUUGCCAGACGACCAUCCAGACCUUCAUCAUCCCUUUCAAAAUACAAACCACUACCAGACAUCAAUAUUAACCAUAAUAAAAAUAGAGAAAGAAGGGAAAGCGAACAGAAUGUUAACAAAGUUUCCCGGGACCUGAAGCAAAUGAGUCUGGUUACAAAUAAUGGUAAAGAUGAAGACUCGGCGAUAAAUAAAAAACCUGUUGGUGAAAAUAAAAACACUAAAAGUCCCUCUGUGAAAAAUGACGAACAAAAACCAGAAAAAAGACAGGUCAAUGAGGGCAAAUGUAUUACUCUGGCCAUUAAAAUUCCAACUACAGGAUCAAGAAUAACUAAAAGCUUUAAGGAAACAGAAACCCUUCAUUCUGUGCUGAAGUAUGCAGAAACAGAAUGUGGGGAAACAUUGUCUCAAGAUUAUUAUUUAGCUGUUAAUGUGCCAAGAAGAAUAUUUGAAAAUCCAAGGUUAACUAUUAAACAGACAGGACUGGAAGACAAGACAACCUUGUUUUUAUUUGAAAAAGAUAUGAUUUAGUAUAAAGGCACAUAUAAUUCCAAUGUUUACUUGGAUGGUCUCAUCAAUUUAAGCAGAGUAUUUGGGUUUAGGCUAGGAAGUAUAUAUUCUAUGCAUGAUUCCAUUUGGUAUCGAGUGAAUGAAAUUUGACUGCAAUUAAACAGUACCUCCUUCAUUUAAUGGAUAUGUCAUUUGUAUGGGUGUACAUAAAAAUCGAUGGUAAUUUAAAAAGUAUCAUUCAAAAGUAGACAUAAUUUUAAAAUUGAGCCUUUGUUCUGGGGUAAUGUUUCCCAUGUUAUUUUCAAGAAAACUUCUUUAGGUUUGGGUUUAAUUAGACAAUCAAAUAUAUGAUAUUCAUGUUAAUAUUUAUGAUUUUAAUAGGGUUUAUUUAUAGUGUGUUGUGAUUUAAAUGUAUGAAGUAUGUAUGUGUCACUGAAUUAUUUUUUUUUUCAGUGAUUAAUUAUGACUGCUGUUGAUAUUUUUGUGUUAUUAUAAUAGAGUUAUAUAUUUAUGUUCGCACAGAGUUUAUUUAUGGAUCUGUUUUAUUGACCCAUAUUGUGGUUCAAGUUUGUUGCAAUGUAGUAUAGUUGUUGAUACUGGCAGGCCAUUUGAUGGACCCCUCCUCCCCUCCCCCUCCUCCGGUCUAUAAGGUUAUUUUGAAUAUGAUACGAACCAAAAUUGAUUAAAUUUAUACAUAUUCGUGGUGACAGUGAUAAUGCCUUUCUAAACACCACUAAAACAUUUCAAAUCAAAUUGUCACUUUCUUUUUUUUUUAAAAACCUAUUAGAUAUCUUUUCUAUUAUAAUCAAAGUAAAUUAAAUGAAACAAUGUACACUGUGAUAUAUGAAAUGAUAAUUUAUAUUGUAUAUAUUGAAGCUAACUUAAAUUGCAUAUUGAUUCUAUUUUAAAGGUUUUUAACAUGUAUAUUUUUUAAAAAAAUGUUGAAGUUUGAUUUUGGUUUUAUAGUCUUAGGGUUAUUUUACAGAAAUACUGACUGAUAUAUUGAAAUUCCAUCCAAAUUUUUAUGUGAUUAUAAGAUUUGAAAUUAGAUACUACAAUAAAUAUUGUAUUGAAGAAAGAAUUAUUGUUUUGACAUGACCACAUGUUGAUUUCACAUACGGGAGCCACAGUGGCUCAGAAAGUAAGACAUUGGCUCGCUAACCUGGAGGUCCCAUGUUCGAUCCUUGUGUUGACCGAGAAAAUUCAUCAUGAUUUUCCGGCAUGGUUCCCCCUUGUCAGUGGUGCAGAAUGGAGGGCCCAUGUACACAUUGGCGUGUUCAUCAAUAUAAGAAUAGGCCGCAGUGCUGCUGUUCAGGUAAAAUUUCCCUCAUAGCACACUGUUUGCCCUUCUUCAUUAGCCCAGUCGGUGCAGAACAGUAGGAUUUCACAUAAAGGUAUAUUGCCAUAACCAAUCUCCUGGUUUAAAACUCCACAGUACAGAUGUGUUUUAGAAAAAAAAUUCAAACUGGCUGGGAUUGCUAUGGUAGUAAUCACGAGAUAACAGCACCUUCAACUUUGAAAACAUUAUAAAGGCCAGAUCUCAGUGAGUAAUAUAAGACUUGGCUCUCUAACCUGAAAGUCCGGUGUUGACAGAGAAAGUUUAUCAGGAUUUUCCAGAAUGGUUGUCCAUGAUGCAGGACGGAGGGCCUAGCAACGUACAACAUAUAGACGUUCAGAUGGGAUGAAAAACUGAGGUCUUGUGUACACAUUGGCGUAUAAGAUCCCUUGACAGUUGGAACUCAAUGUAAGAGUAGGCUGUAGAGCCGCUGUCAGGGCAAAAUUUCGUCUACAGCACCCUGCAUGGUAUAUAUCCACUUCAUUUGCCCAGUCAGAGCAGAACAGUAGGAGUUAAAACCCAUUUCAUUUCCUUACAUCUAGAUGUGCAUUCUUUGAACAUGUGGCAGUAUAUUGUCAUCACCCCUGUAUC